UACGUAGGUGGCAAGCGUUGUCCGGAUUUACUGGGCGUAAAGGGAGCGUAGGUGGAUAUUUAAGUGGGAUGUGAAAUACUCGGGCUUAACCUGGGUGCUGCAUUCCAGACUGAAUAUCUAGAGUGCAGGAGAGGAAAGUAGAAUUCCUAGUGUAGCGGUGAAAUGCGUAGAGAUUAGGAAGAAUACCAGUGGCGAAGGCGACUUUCUGGACUGUAACUGACACUGAGGCUCGAAAGCGUGGGGAGCAAACAGG
rnacentral:rRNA from 1 species